GAUGAACGCUGGCGGCGUGCUUAACACAUGCAAGUCGAACGAAGUGCUUAAGUGAAUCUCUUCGGGGUGAAGCUUUUGUGACUGAGUGGCGGACGGGUGAGUAACGCGUGGGUAACCUGCCUUACACAGGGGGAUAACAGUUAGAAAUGACUGCUAAUACCGCAUAACCCGCCAGUACCGCAUGGUACAGACGGAAAAGAUUUAUUGGUGUGAGAUGGACCCGCGUCUGGUUAGCUAGUUGGUGGGGUAAAGGCCUACCAAGGCGACGAUCAGUAGCCGACUUGAGAGGGUGACCGGCCACAUUGGGACUGAGACACGGCCCAAACUCCUACGGGAGGCAGCAGUGGGGAAUAUUGCACAAUGGGGGAAACCCUGAUGCAGCGACGCCGCGUGAGUGAAGAAGUAUUUCGGUAUGUAAAGCUCUAUCAGCAGGGAAGAAAAUGACGGUACCUGACUAAGAAGCCCCGGCUAACUACGUGCCAGCCGCCGCGGUAACAC
rnacentral:rRNA from 1 species